AUAUCUUCGAAAUCGUCCGGUAAGUACUGCCAUCUACUUGGUUAACUGAAAACUUUUUAAUUGAUAUUUUGACAGUCCUAAAUUAGAAAUUACCUGUACCUCAUUCAAAAUUUCUUCUUUUUAAAUUAAUUUGUUACUGAAACGUUUGUCGAAGACUGAAACGACCAACUUGGUCGGCCAAAUUCGUGUUGAGGUAAAGUAACAGUCUUUUGGUGCUGGCAAUCCUCUAGAACAAGUAGCUAUUUCCAUUCUAAUUCUAAUUUUUUUUUGGAAAACUAAGUCCGAUAAAAGAGAGGGUUUAUAGCAGCAUAAUAAGAAAGAAACUCGAAUAUGAAUGUAUAUUCGAGAGCAUUCCGUCUAUUAUAAAUAAGCAGUAGGAACUUAGGUAAGUGUUUUUAUUAAUUUUUGCUUAUAGAAUUACCACAAAGUUCCGAAGUAUUCUUUACCCAUUCAGCACGAGCUGCUGUAUCGCUAAGUAUUUCAAAUAAAGUAUCUUUUUCUCCACAAACAAAACAUUUCUUGCCGAUUUUUGAACUUUUUAGAAGAAUGAUUGAAAAUUUGACAAAAAUUGUCAAAUUUGAAAUAUCAAUAGUCUUUAAGUUAUCAGGUAGAUGACGCUAGUUACCGGACGAUUUUCGAGGUUAGUAAAAAAUCAGUCACGGCAAUUACUGCAUUGUUAAAUCCUGUUAUAAUAAUAAAUUGAAUAAUAGCGAUAUCGCUUUUUUAUACUUCCCACAGAUUCGUCAUUAGCACGGAAAUGGCUAGAAGCUGUAGAUCGGAAAGAUUUACUAGAAGUAAAUUAUACCAAACAAAAUUUUGGGGUUUGUAGUGAUAAUUUUGCUCAAGAGCAGUUGGAAAGAAAAUGGCUAAGAUUUGUAUUAAUACGCGGAUCUAUACCAAACAUAAGUUAUAUAAAAAAUGUAACCAGGAGAGGAAACAAAUGUUGAGAAGGCCAUUGAAAUUGAUAAUAUUAAUUCUGAUACUAAUUUCCCACUUAUAAUUUAAAAUUAUAAGUUUUAAUUGAGAUGAUUAAAAACAUAGAACACAUUAUUCUUAUUGUCAAUUUAUGUAAUGAAGAUUCGACGAAUUUGUUCUUUGGGCUAGCAGAUUCGAAAAUAGAAUUAAAGUUUGAAAAAAAAAUUAUUCAUUAAUAUUAAAUAAGUUUGUUUGGACUAAAAUGUGUAUUUCUCACUA